AAUGAACGCUGGCGGCAGGCCUAACACAUGCAAGUCGAGCGAGAUCUUCGGGUCUAGCGGCGGACGGGUGAGUAACGCGUGGGAACGUGCCCUUCUCUACGGAAUAGCCUCGGGAAACUGGGAGUAAUACCGUAUACGCCCCUUGGGGGAAAGAUUUAUCGGAGAAGGAUCGGCCCGCGUUGGAUUAGGUAGUUGGUGGGGUAAUGGCCUACCAAGCCUACGAUCCAUAGCUGGUUUGAGAGGAUGAUCAGCCACAUUGGGACUGAGACACGGCCCAGACUCCUACGGGAGGCAGCCGUGGGGAAUCUUAGACAAUGGGGGCAACCCUGAUCUAGCCAUGCCGCGUGAGUGGUGAAGGCCUUAGGGUUGUAAAGCUCUUUCAGCUGGGAAGAUAAUGACGGUACCAGCAGAAGAAGCCCCGGCUAACUCCGUGCCAGCCGCCGCCGUAAUAC
rnacentral:rRNA from 1 species